GAGAUGCAUGUGUUCGCAGCCCCGUCUGGGUCAUCCUCACUACCAUCCUCGCCUUAGAGUUCAGCAUCGGUCAGUCUCUUUCUUUUCUUUCUGAGCACUAAUGAUCGAUGAAGGUGUUUGUGGCUGCUCAAAUUAAUGUCUGAAUGUGCCAAAUCUGCUGCUAUCUAUAGGAACUAAAACCUGCUGCUCUGAAGGUGCCAGCGUCGCUGAGGGAAUUUAUCAAUGGUUGGUUCAGUACAGUAUCUGCUGCUAUGUUAUUUGCAGCCAGAGAAGAUAUAUGUUCAUGCCAUUUUCUUAACUGUGUCACCCGUUUUCAGCUAGUGUACAAACAAACAAAUUAUUGGCAUGCAUGAGUAGUGCACGGACGCAUGUUAGUGUAUCUUACCAUAGAUGGACAAAGUCAUUUUGCAUAAUUAUGCCUGAACAUGCAUGGUAAGAACAAAAUCCUCACUGAUUAUAGAGAGAGCAAGUAGAUACUCUCAUCACUGAGAAAAAGCUUGUUUAGUUGAGAGUGUUCCAUGUGAACCCUCAGUCAGUGUAGCAACACAAACAUGCAUAAUAAAUUUCUCUACACCAGCUGAGCUAGUGUCUUACUGACUUCCAAGUCAUAAACAAUGUCAAUAAUGUUGAUAAGUGCCAGCUGCAAAUAAUCUGCAAACACCACGGCAGGCUUUCCCUUGUAGCAAUGUCCUUUUAUAUCCAUAUAAUCCUUACCUAAUCAAAUUGUCAUAUCCCUGUAUGCUAGAGGACGAGUUUAGUCAGGCCAGCAACAAUGCGGAGCUACAUAACUAAAUAACCUGAUCUGAACUGUGAGCACAUGAUGAUUAUGUGGGUGCAAAUAAAUGGAAGUCGAAAUGCUUUUGGCUAUGACUUACUAUUCCUUAGCCUAUAUGCAUGUCUUAGUUAAACUUGAAAAUCAUUGUUUUCUCCUAUGAUGUUAUGUGAUUCAGUAUUAAAUUAGUAGACUCGAAUAUUUCUUGUUUUGAUCAGUCUUGUGGAAAAUAUGACCUUCAUUGAAUACUCUACUCUUUAUAUGUCGCUCAAGGGUUCCCCGUCGUACCUUUUGGUCUUGUUUUUGUUCAAUCUGCUUUUAUAUGUUAGUCUAGUUAUUAGAUUGAUUUUAGAAUGUUCAUCCAACUUUUGUUGAUCUAAGAAACAUCUUGCAUGCUAUAGAAGUCGUAUUAGCUAAACUUGGCUUGUAGUUGUCUCUAUGAAAGUGGUUGUAUUUUGAUUUUUAUCUAUUGGUUUGCUGCAGUGGAAUGCUCAUCACCUCAUAGGGAAGAUCUGAACCAAGUGAAUGCAAGGAUUUUUUGGCAAUGUCUAGCUCAAUCUCACCUUCGAGAAAAUGUAAUAUUUUUCCUCCGGAGUUAGUCUACACUAUCCAGGUUGUAUGCUACUACUGAGAUCCCAUCAAGGUAACACUCUUCCCCCACAUCUUAAUCUGCAACAAAAGUAUAAACAAGAUUCAAGUGAGCGGUCUUCAUGGGGUUGCUUGUUCGUAUGAUUUGUUCAUGUGCUUCAUUUUGUAAUCCCAGUCAAGUAAAGGCUAAAGAAACAUGCUACCCUCAAACUGAAGUUUUGCAACCAUGUUAAUAUUUAAUGCAAAUUGCCAAGACUCUUCUGGGAGGAUUAUGUUUAUCUUUGUAACUAGUUGUUAGCAUUUUCCUGUUCAACAAUAAAGGUCGACAUCACUACAGGAAAUGGUUCUGAUUGUUACUCCUUCGAUUCAAACUCAUGAAUUAAGUUAAAGUCUACAUAUGAGGUUGUGUUUCAGCCAUGCAUACUUUGUGUGCAUGUGUUGUUUGUGUUGAGUUUGGUUUGGUGGUAUAUGAGCUGUGUUGUGUUGUGGUGCUCAUGUCGGUGCUGUUUAUUUUACUGUGUUAAAGAUAUAUGAUUCACAUCUCUUCAUGUUGGAAGUUAUUAAUGUGAGUUUUUUUGCACAAAGUGUUGAGCUAACACAAGAAUAAUCUUGCAAUUCCUGAAAUUUCUAUGGGAACAUGUCUUAGUCUUGUGUUAAUUGCUGAAUGUAAAACCUCCAUUUAUCUUUUGUUUGCUCAUAUUUUGUGUGCUUUCUUAUGUUUGAUUGUUCCAAUUACCAGGAUGAUCUGAAGCACUCCAAAGAAGCGAAGGGCAGAAGAAGCUUCAUUUCUCAUUGAUGUUAUGUGUGAUCAACUAAAAUUUGCCCAUCUGGUCCGAUCUUUGUAGAACUAUGUUGUUGUGCGCCUGUGCACUUGUUGAGUCUUUUUGUUGUGCACUUGCACUUGUAGCAUUAUUUUGUUGUGCACUUGUUGGACCUUGGACCUUGCUGUGUAGUGGAGUUAAUGGAUGAUGUAUUGUAUUUCAUGUGAUGUGUUACUGAAAUGAAAUAUACAAUUUAU
rnacentral:lncRNA from 1 species